UCAUUGGAUCAUGUGGUCACCCAUUUUUUGUUCUUUUUGCCUUUGUAAUUGAUUUCCUCCUUUUUCUUUUGAAAAUGUAUAGAAUGAGUGAAAACAUCGUUUUGUACUUGUUCCAGAAAUAUAUUGGCACUGUGCCAGGGUUCAGAUUUUCACGUCACAAUAUUUGCACAUUUAUAUUGACUGUGGUAGUAACAGUUCAGGCUGUUCUAUUGUGGUUAGGUGUCAAUGGAAGAGUGUUAGACAUUUACUCAACUUUAAAACUGCCGACAUUAGCCCAAAUGACCGUGCAAAAGAUUACAAUUACCUUUUGGGUUUCAAGUGUUGUGGCACUGAUUUUCACUUUGGCUUGCACUAUUGACAUGCAGCUGCGAUGCAGGUACGUAUAACGCACGACUUUAUCUGUCAUCGCUACUCGUUCGGCAAAAUCAAGAGCACAU